rnacentral:rRNA from 1 species
UGCGUAGGGUGCGAGCGUUAAUCGGAAUUACUGGGCGUAAAGCGCACGUAGGCGGCUUGGUAUGUCGGGUGUGAAAUCCCCGGGCUCAACCUGGGAACUGCAUCCGAAACUGCCUUGCUAGAGUAUGGGAGAGGGAAGUGGAAUUUCCGGUGUAGCGGUGAAAUGCGUAGAUAUCGGAAGGAACAUCAGUGGCGAAGGCGACUUCCUGGACCAAUACUGACGCUCAGGUGCGAAAGCGUGGGGAGCAAACAGG